rnacentral:rRNA from 1 species
GGAAUCUUCCACAAUGGGCGAAAGCCUGAUGGAGCAACGCCGCGUGUGUGAUGAAGGCUUUCGGGUCGUAAAGCACUGUUGUAUGGGGAGAACAGCUAGAAUAGGAAAUGAUUUUAGUUUGACGGUACCAUACCAGAAAGGGACGGCUAAAUACGUGCCAG